rnacentral:rRNA from 1 species
UACAGAGGGUGCGAGCGUUAAUCGGAAUUAUUGGGCGUAAAGCGCACGUAGGUGGGCGAUUAAGUUAGAUGUAAAAUACCUGGGCUCAACCUGGGUGGGUCAUUUAAAACUGGUUGUCUAGAGUAUAGGAGAGGAAGAUAGAAUUUCCGGUGUAGCGGUGAAAUGCGUAGAUAUCGGAAGGAAUACCCGUGGCGAAGGCGAUCUUCUGGCCUAAUACUGACGCUGAGGUGCGAAAGCGUGGGGAGCAAACAGG